rnacentral:rRNA from 1 species
CUCAGUUCGGAUUGAAGGCUGAAAUUCGCCUUCAUGAAGCCGGAAUUGCUAGUAAUGGCAGGUCAGCAUACUGCCGUGAAUACGUUCCCGGGCCCUUGUACACACCGCCCGUCACACCAUGAGAGUUGGGAAUACCCGAAGCCUGUGAGCUAACAAAUAGAGGCAGCAGUCGAAGGUAGAAUCAAUGAUUGGGGUGAAGUCGUAACAAGGUAUC